rnacentral:rRNA from 1 species
CAACAACGAAGAGUUUGAUCCUGGCUCAGGAUGAACGCUAGCGACAGGCUUAACACAUGCAAGUCGAGGGGCAGCAGGGGAAGGACUUGUCNUUCCCGCUGGCGACCGGCGCACGGGUGAGUAACACGUAUGCAAUCUGCCCAUAACAGGGGGGUAAGCGGAAGAAAUUCCGUCUAAUACCGCAUAAUAUCCUCGAGGGACAUCCCUUGAGGAUUAAAGCUCCGGCGGUUAUGGAUGAGCAUGCGGCGCAUUAGCUAGUUGGCGGGGUAACGGCCCACCAAGGCGACGA